GACGUAGGGCGCGAGCGUUGUCCGGAUUUAUUGGGCGUAAAGAGCUCGUAGGCGGCUUGUCGCGUCGACUGUGAAAACCUGAGGCUCAACCUCAGGCCUGCAGUCGAUACGGGCAGACUAGAGUCCGGCAGGGGAGACUGGAAUUCCUGGUGUAGCGGUGAAAUGCGCAGAUAUCAGGAGGAACACCAAUUGCGAAGGCAGCUCGCUGGGACGUUACUGACGCUGAGACGCGAAAGCGUGGGGAGCAAACAGG
rnacentral:rRNA from 1 species